rnacentral:rRNA from 1 species
AGCUAGUUGGUGGGGUAAGAGCCUACCAAGGCGACGAUCAGUAGCUGGUCUGAGAGGAUGAUCAGCCACACUGGGACUGAGACACGGCCCAGACUCCUACGGGAGGCAGCAGUGGGGAAUUUUCCGCAAUGGGCGAAAGCCUGACGGAGCAACGCCGCGUGAGGGACGAAGGCCUCUGGGCUGUAAACCUCUUUUCUCAAGGAAGAAGAUCUGACGGUACUUGAGGAAUAAGCCACGGCUAAUUCCGUGCCAGCAGCCGCGGUAAUACGGGAGUGGCAAGCGUUAUCCGGAAUUAUUGGGCGUAAAGCGUCCGCAGGCGGCUUUGUAAGUCUGCUGUCAAAGCGUGGAGCUUAACUCCAUUUCGGCAGUGGAAACUACGAGGCUUGAGUGUGGUAGGGGCAGAGGGAAUUCCCGGUGUAGCGGUGAAAUGCGUAGAUAUCGGGAAGAACACCAGUGGCGAAGGCGCUCUGCUGGGCCAUAACUGACGCUCAUGGACGAAAGCCAGGGGAGCGAAAGGGAUUAGAUACCCCUGUAGUCCUGGCCGUAAACGAUGAACACUAGGUGUCGGGGGAAUCGACCCCCUCGGUGUCGUAGCCAACGCGUUAAGUGUUCCGCCUGGGGAGUACGCACGCAAGUGUGAAACUCAAAGGAAUUGACGGGGGCCCGCACAAGCGGUGGAGUAUGUGGUUUAAUUCGAUGCAACGCGAAGAACCUUACCAGGGUUUGACAUCCUGCGAAUCCCUUGGAAACUUGGGAGUGCCUUCGGGAGCGCAGAGACAGGUGGUGCAUGGCUGUCGUCAGCUCGUGUCGUGAGAUGUUGGGUUAAGUCCCGCAACGAGCGCAACCCACGUCUUUAGUUGCCAGCAUUUAGUUGGGCACUCUAGAGAGACCGCCGGUGAUAAACCGGAGGAAGGUGUGGAUGACGUCAAGUCAUCAUGCCCCUUACAUCCUGGGCUACACACGUACUACAAUGCUACGGACAAAGGGCAGCAAACUCGCGAGAGCUAGCAAAUCCCAUAAACCGUGGCUCAGUUCAGAUCGUAGGCUGCAACUCGCCUACGUGAAGGAGGAAUCGCUAGUAAUCGCAGGUCAGCAUACUGCGGUGAAUACGUUCCCGGGCCUUGUACACACCGCCCGUCACACCAUGGAAGUUGGCCAUGCCCGAAGUCGUUACUCCAACCCUUGUGGAGGAGGACGCCGAAGGUGGGGCUGAUGACUGGGGUGAAGUCGUAACAAGGUAGCCGUACCGGAAGGUGCGGCUG